CUGGCGGCAUGGCUAAGACAUGCAAGUCGAACGGACCAUAUAAUUGGGUAACCGAAAGUAUGGUUAGUGGCGAAAGGGUGAGGAAUAGAUAGGAACGUACCCUGUGCUCUGGGAUAGCGUCUGAAGCUUCGGCUUCUUCCGAAAGGGGCGGUAAUACCAGAUAAUGUCCUUCGGGACCAAAGAUUUAUCGGCAUUGGAGCGGCCUAUCUCCUAUCAGCUUGUUGGUGAGGUAACGGCUCACCAAGGCAACGACGGGUAGCGGGACUGAGAGGUUGGCCCGCCACAUCGGGACUGAGACACUGCCCGGACCUCCACGGAGGGCUGCAGUAACGGAUAUUGGGCAAUGGGCGAAAGCCUGACCCAGCAAUGCCGCGUGCAGGAUGAAGCCCCUAGGGGUGUAAACUGCUGUCAGGGGUCAGAAAGCUGGUUUCGGCCAGUUGAUCAACCCCAGAGGAAGUCACGGCUAACUUCGUGCCAGCAGCCGCGGUAAUACGAAGGUGGCAAGCGUUAUUCGGAAUCAUUGGGCUUAAAGGGCACGCAGGCGGAACAGUGUGUGUUGUGUGAAGUCCCCCGGCUUAACCGGGGAAUUGCACAGCAAACUGCUGUUCUUGAGGCAGGUAGGGGUGCAUGGAACUCUUGGUGGAGCGGUGGAAUGCGUAGAUAUCAAGAGGAACGCCAGAGGUGAAGACGGUGCACUGGGCCUGUCCUGACGCUGAGGUGCGACAGCGUGGGGAGCGAACGGGAUUAGAUACCCCGGUAGUCCACGCCGUAAACGAUGUCUACUAAGUCCUGGGUGUUCUGACACAUUCACGGCCGGAGCAAAAGUGUUUAGUAGACCGCCUGGGGAGUACGGCCGCAAGGUUAAAACUCAAAUGAAUUGACGGGGGCUCACACAAGCGGUGGAGCAU
rnacentral:rRNA from 1 species